UACAGAGGUCCCAAGCGUUGUUCGGAUUCACUGGGCGUAAAGGGUGCGUAGGCGGUCAGAUAAGUCUGAUGUGAAAUCUUCGAGCUCAACUCGGAAAUGGCAUUGGAAACUACCUUGCUAGAGGAUUGGAGGGGAGACUGGAAUGCUUGGUGUAGCAGUGAAAUGCGUAGAUAUCAAGCGGAACACCAGUGGCGAAGGCGAGUCUCUGGACAAUUCCUGACACUGAGGCACGAAAGCCAGGGGAGCAAACGGG
rnacentral:rRNA from 1 species